UGGAGGGUGCGUGCUUGCGUUCACGCUUUCCCCAACCAGCAAAACCGAAGCUAUUGGAAAACUUUCCUGUGUGCCAAAGCGAGAGAGCAUGUCUUCUUUCUCUAGAUUUUGGACGGCACAACGCCGAUCGUGUGGCCUAUGAACGAAAAACGGGAGAAGGGGAAACCGAUAUCCUUCGAGUGACACACACGCAUGCAUCUGCAUGCGUAUUCCGCUGAACCGAGACUACACAUCUCUCUCGAUCUCCCAUGAUUUUUCUGCUAUCGCGCUCAUCCGGGUGUUAGGCAUCCUCAGUCUGUCCAGAACUUUCACUGUGGAAGGAUGUGUUGGAGUGAUGUGUGAUUUCUUGUGCCCCGUACUUUGCUCGUUUACGUUUUGUGCCGUGUUCCUUCUUCUUCAAUUAUGGAAUGAUUUAUCCUUGUAAAUUUCUAAGUUACAGUGCACGCGCAUGUUAAUCGACGGUUGCCAACAUCCCGCAAAACGAUCGACAGAAGGAAAACGGUGUCCGGUUUUAAAAUAUAAAGAUUUCAUUACAGCUCUUUCGUAGAAGAGCGCACUUCAAGGACGCCUAGGAUACGGCUAAACAUGCGCAGCACCAGUCCGUGACGUCAUUUCCAGACAGGCGCCGGCUGAACACGCGCAGCACCAGCCCAACCAGCAAAACCGAAGCUAUUGGAAAACUUUCCUGUGUGCCAAAGCGAGAGAGCAUGUCUUCUUUCUCUAGAUUUUGGACGGCACAACGCCGAUCGUGUGGCCUAUGAACGAAAAACGGGAGAAGGGGAAACCGAUAUCCUUCGAGUGACACACACGCAUGCAUCUGCAUGCGUAUUCCGCUGAACCGAGACUACACAUCUCUCUCGAUCUCCCAUGAUUUUUCUGCUAUCGCGCUCAUCCGGGUGUUAGGCAUCCUCAGUCUGUCCAGAACUUUCACUGUGGAAGGAUGUGUUGGAGUGAUGUGUGAUUUCUUGUGCCCCGUACUUUGCUCGUUUACGUUUUGUGCCGUGUUCCUUCUUCUUCAAUUAUGGAAUGAAUUAUCCUUGUAAAUUUCUAAGUUACAGUGCACGCGCAUGUUAAUCGACGGUUGCCAACAUCCAGCAAAACGAUCGACAGAAGGAAAACGGUGUCCGGUUUUAAAAUAUAAAGAUUUCAUUACAGCUCUUUCGUAGAAGAGCGCACUUCAAGGACGCCUAGGAUACGGCUAAACAUGCGCAGCACCAGUCCGUGACGUCAUUUCCAGACAGGCGUCGGCUGAACACGCGCAGCACCAGUCGAGGAUAUCCUAGCGCAGAGGGUAGAAGGAAGAACGAGAGGAAGGGUAAUAGAAAGCAACCGCAGCAUUUGGAAGGGGUGAAGCAUCCUGCCGUAUACAGAGUGUGAGUGUGCCAAAACGCAUUUGGAAAGAGUAACACCAAUAAAUAGCAUGCGAAAGUGUGCAUAAAGCAAAAAGAAAAAGCGUCACUACUACAACCAGCAAUCCGAAAAUAUAAGGGGAGGGAUAAAUACAAAUGUAUGCGUAAGCAGGACCAGCAAUCCAAGCAUUUGAAUGUGUGCGUCGGUUUGUGCCUUGCUGAAAGUUUUUACUUUAGCUGCUGCUAGUGUAAAAACUUAAGGAAAGCUUAAAGUAAAAAUUUUUUACACGGGGCGCCUUCGGAAAUUGUUGGCUGGGACGUGGGUGCGUGCUGGCGUUCGCGCUUUCGUGGGUGCGUGCUUGCGUUCGCGCUUUCGUGGGUACGUGCAUGUGUGCGUGUGUGUAUGCGUGCGUGCGUGCAUGCUCGCGUGCAUGUGUGUGUGUAUGCGUGCGUGCGUGCGUGUGUGUGUGCGUGCAUGUGCGUGCAUGUGUGUGUUUGUGUGUGUGUGUGUGUGUGUGUGUGUGUGUGUGUGUGUGUGUGUGUGUGUGUGUGUGUGUGUGUGUGUGUGUGUGUGUGUGUGUGUGUGUGUGUGUGUGUGUGUGUGUGUGUGAGUUUGCGCGUGCGUGUUUGUGUGUGUGCGUGCGUUUGG